rnacentral:rRNA from 1 species
GACGAACGCUGGCGGCGUGCCUAAUACAUGCAAGUUGAGCGCUGAAGGUUGGUACUUGUACCAACUGGAUGAGCAGCGAACGGGUGAGUAACGCGUGGGGAAUCUGCCUUUGAGCGGGGGACAACAUUUGGAAACGAAUGCUAAUACCGCAUAAAAACUUUAAACACAAGUUUUUAAGUUUGAAAGAUGCAAUUGCAUCACUCAAAGAUGAUCCCGCGUUGUAUUAGCUAGUUGGUGAGGUAAAGGCUCACCAAGGCGAUGAUACAUAGCCGACCUGAGAGGGUGAUCGGCCACAUUGGGACUGAGACACGGCCCCAGCUCCUUCGGGAGGCAGCAGUAGGGAAUCUUCGGCAAUGGACGAAAGUCUGACCGAGCAACGCCGCGUGAGUGAAGGAGGUUUUCGGGUCGUAAAACUCUGUUGGUAGGGAAGAACGUUGGUGGGAGUGGAAAGCUCAUCAAGUGACGGUACCUACCCAGAAAGCGACGGCUAACUACGUG